GAUGAACGCUGGCGGCGUGCCUAACACAUGCAAGUCGAGCGAUCUCUUCGGAGAGAGCGGCGGACGGGUGAGUAACGCGUGGGUAACCUGCCCUGUACACACGGAUAACAUACCGAAAGGUAUACUAAUACGGGAUAACAUACGAAAGUCGCAUGGCUUUUGUAUCAAAGCUCCGGCGGUACAGGAUGGACCCGCGUCUGAUUAGCUAGUUGGUAAGGUAAUGGCUUACCAAGGCAACGAUCAGUAGCCGACCUGAGAGGGUGAUCGGCCACACUGGAACUGAGACACGGUCCAGACUCCUACGGGAGGCAGCAGUGGGGAAUAUUGCACAAUGGGCGAAAGCCUGAUGCAGCAACGCCGCGUGAGCGAUGAAGGCCUUCGGGUCGUAAAGCUCUGUCCUCAAGGAAGAUAAUGACGGUACUUGAGGAGGAAGCCCCGGCUAACUACGU
rnacentral:rRNA from 1 species